AUUUCAAUCGGGAUGUGGAAAACAUCGGAAAACAGUUAAAGGUAGUUUUCGUAAUGAUGGGGUCGCGUGUUCGAGUCACGCAAGCGGCACCA
rnacentral:tRNA from 1 species